rnacentral:rRNA from 1 species
AUAGGUUCGUUAGGUGACCUGCGGAAGGAUCAUUA